GCCUGGGUGGCUCAGUUGGUUGAGCGUCUGACUUCGGCUCAGGUCAUGAUCUCACAGUUUGUGAGUUUGAGCCCCGCGUCGGGCU
rnacentral:tRNA from 1 species